UGGACGGGGUUCACGUUUUGUGCCUUGC
rnacentral:sRNA from 1 species